AGAGUUUGAUCAUGGCUCAGAUUGAACGCUGGCGGCAGGCCUAAUACAUGCAAGUCGAACGGUAACAGUAGAAAAGCUUGCUUUUCUAGCUGACGAGUGGCGGACGGGUGAGUAACAUUUGGGAAACUACCUGAUAGAGGGGGACAACAGUUGGAAACGACUGCUAAUACCGCAUAAAGCCUGAGGGUGAAAGCAGCAAUGCGCUAUCAGAUGUGCCCAAACGGGAUUAGCUAGUAGGUGAGGUAAAGGCUCACCUAGGCGACGAUCUCUAGCUGGUCUGAGAGGAUGAUCAGCCACAUUGGGACUGAGACACGGCCCAGACUCCUACGGGAGGCAGCAGUAGGGAAUAUUGCACAAUGGGGGGAACCCUGAUGCAGCCAUGCCGCGUGUGUGAAGAAGGCCUUCGGGUUGUAAAGCACUUUCGGAGGGGAGGAAAAUGACGUUACCCUCAGAAGAAGCACCGGCUAACUCCGUGCCAGCAGCCGCGGUAAUACGGAGGGUGCAAGCGUUAAUCGGAAUAACUGGGCGUAAAGGGCAUGCAGGCGGUUGUAUAAGUAGGGUGUGAAAUCCCCGGGCUCAACCUGGGAACUGCAUUCUAAACUGUACAACUAGAGUAUUGCAGGGGGGGACGGAAUUUCAGGUGUAGCGGUGGAAUGCGUAGAUAUCUGGAAGAACACCAAAGGCGAAGGCAGUCUCCUGGGCAAAUACUGACGCUCAUAUGCGAAAGCGUGGGUAGCAAACAGGAUUAGAUACCCUGGUAGUCCACGCCGUAAACGAUGUCAAUUAGGAGCUUGUGCUAAAGUAUGGGUUCCGCAGCUAACGCAAUAAAUUGACCACCUGGGGAGUACGGCCGCAAGGUUAAAACUCAAAUGAAUUGACGGGGGCCCGCACAAGCGGAGGAGCAUGUGGUUUAAUUCGAUGAUACGCGAGGAACCUUACCUGGACUCAAAUGUUGACUGGCCGUUCCAGAAAUGGGACUUUCCCUCGGGACAGUCAGCAAGGUGCUGCAUGGUUGUCGUCAGCUCGUGCCGUGAGGUGUCAGGUUAAGUCCUAUAACGAGCGCAACCCCUACGUCCAGUUGCCAGCGGGUGAUGCCGGGGACUCUGGAGGGACUGCCGGCGCAAGCCGAGAGGAAGGUGGGGAUGACGUCAAAUCAGCACGGCCCUUACGUCCAGGGCGACACACGUGCUACAAUGGCCGGUACAGAGGGCAGCCACCUGGCGACAGGGAGCGAAUCUCGAAAGCCGGUCUCAGUUCGGAUCGGAGUCUGCAACUCGACUCCGUGAGGUUGGAUUCGCUAGUAAUCGCGCAUCAGCCAUGGCGCGGUGAAUACGUUCCCGGGCCUUGUACACACCGCCCGUCAACCCAUGAAAGUCCGGGGUACCUGAAGUCCGUGACCGCGAGGAGCGGCCUAGGGUAAAACGGGUGAUUGGGGCUAAGUCGUAACAAGGUAACCGUA
rnacentral:rRNA from 1 species